AGUGAACGCUGGCGGUAGGCCUAACACAUGCAAGUCGAACGGCAGCACAGUAAGAGCUUGCUCUUACGGGUGGCGAGUGGCGGACGGGUGAGGAAUACAUCGGAAUCUACUUUUUCGUGGGGGAUAACGUAGGGAAACUUACGCUAAUACCGCAUACGACCUACGGGGGAAAGCAGGGGAUCUUCGGACCUUGCGCGAUUGAAUGAGCCGAAGUCGGAUUAGCUAGUUGGCGGGGUAAAGGCCCACCAAGGCGACGAUCCGUAGCUGGUCUGAGAGGCUGAUCAGCCACACUGGAACUGAGACACGGUCCAGACUCCUACGGGAGGCAGCAGUGGGGAAUAUUGGACAAUGGGCGCAAGCCUGAUCCAGCCAUGCCGCGUGGGUGAAGAAGGCCUUCGGGUUGUAAAGCCCUUUUGUUAGGAAAGAAAAGCAGCAGGUUAAUACCCCGCUGUUCUGACGGUACCCAAAGAAUAAGCACCGGCUAACUUCGUG
rnacentral:rRNA from 1 species